UACGGAGGGUGCGAGCGUUGUCCGGAAUCAUUGGGCGUAAAGGGCGCGUAGGUGGCCCGGUCAGCGUGCGGUGAAAGCUCGGGGCUCAACCCCGAGUCGGCCGUGCGAACUGCUGGGCUGGAGCACUGUAGAGGCAGGCGGAAUUCCGGGUGUAGCGGUGAAAUGCGUAGAUAUCAAGAGGAACACCUGAGGUGAAGACGGGUUGCUGGGCUGAUACUGACGCUGAGGCGCGAAAGCUAGGGUAGCAAACGGG
rnacentral:rRNA from 1 species